AGCGGCGAGUGAGCGGCAAGAGCUCAGAUUUGAAAUCGUGUUUCGGCACGAGUUGUAGAGUGUAGGCGGGAGUCUCUGUGGAGCGCGGUGUCCAAGUCCCUUGGAACAGGGUGCCUGAGAGGGUGAGAGCCCCGUAGGGUGCUGCGCGAAGCUUUUGAGGCCCUGCUGACGAGUCGAGUUGUUUGGGAAUGCAGCUCCAAGCGGGUGGUAAAUUCCAUCUAAGGCUAAAUAUUGGCGAGAGACCGAUAGCGAACAAGUACUGUGAAGGAAAGAUGAAAAGCACUUUGAAAAGAGAGUGAAACAGCACGUGAAAUUGUUGAAAGGGAAGGGUAUUGGGCUCGACAUGGGGGGUGCGCACCGCUGUCUCUUGUAGGCGGCGCUCUGGGCGCCCUCUGGGCCAGCAUCGGUUCCUGCUGCGGGAGAAGGGGCUCCGGAAAGUGGCUCUUCGGAGUGUUAUAGCCGGGGCCAGAUGCCGCGUGUGGGGACCGAGGACUGCGGCUUCUGUCUCGGAUGCUGGCAUAACGGCGCAAUACCGCCCGUCUUGAAACACGGACCA
rnacentral:rRNA from 1 species